rnacentral:rRNA from 1 species
UUGACCUCGAUCAGGUAGGAAACCCCCUGAACUUAACAUAUUAAUAAGGGGAA